rnacentral:rRNA from 1 species
GAGUUUGAUCCUGGCUCAGGACGAACGCUGGCGGCGUGCUUAACACAUGCAAGUCGAACGGAAAGGCCCUGCUUUUGUGGGGUGCUCGAGUGGCGAACGGGUGAGUAACACGUGAGUAACCUGCCCUUGACUUUGGGAUAACUUCAGGAAACUGGGGCUAAUACCGGAUAGGAGCUCCUGCUGCAUGGUGGGGGUUGGAAAGUUUCGGCGGUUGGGGAUGGACUCGCGGCUUAUCAGCUUGUUGGUGGGGUAGUGGCUUACCAAGGCUUUGACGGGUAGCCGGCCUGAGAGGGUGACCGGCCACAUUGGGACUGAGAUACGGCCCAGACUCCUACGGGAGGCAGCAGUGGGGAAUAUUGCACAAUGGGCGGAAGCCUGAUGCAGCAACGCCGCGUGCGGGAUGACGGCCUUCGGGUUGUAAACCGCUUUCGCCUGUGACGAAGCGUGAGUGACGGUAAUGGGUAAAGAAGCACCGGCUAACUACGUGCCAGCAGCCGCGGUGAUACGUAGGGUGCGAGCGUUGUCCGGAUUUAUUGGGCGUAAAGGGCUCGUAGGUGGUUGAUCGCGUCGGAAGUGUAAUCUUGGGGCUUAACCCUGAGCGUGCUUUCGAUACGGGUUGACUUGAGGAAGGUAGGGGAGAAUGGAAUUCCUGGUGGAGCGGUGGGAUGCGCAGAUAUCAGGAGGAACACCAGUGGCGAAGGCGGUUCUCUGGGCCUUUCCUGACGCUGAGGAGCGAAAGCGUGGGGAGCGAACAGGCUUAGAUACCCUGGUAGUCCACGCUGUAAACGGUGGGUACUAGGUGUGGGGUCCAUUCCACGGGUUCCGUGCCGUAGCUAACGCUUUAAGUACCCCGCCUGGGGAGUACGGCCGCAAGGCUAAAACUCAAAGGAAUUGACGGGGCCCCGCACAAGCGGCGGAGCAUGCGGAUUAAUUCGAUGCAACGCGUAGAACCUUACCUGGGUUUGACAUGGAUCGGGAGUGCUCAGAGAUGGGUGUGCCUCUUUUGGGGUCGGUUCACAGGUGGUGCAUGGCUGUCGUCAGCUCGUG